rnacentral:rRNA from 1 species
GUAACAAGGUCUCCGUAGGUGAACCUGCGGAGGGAUCAUUACACAAAUAUGAAGGCGGGCUGGAACCUCUCGGGGUUACAGCCUUGCUGAAUUAUUCACCCUUGUCUUUUGCGUACUUCUUGUUUCCUUGGUGGGUUCGCCCACCACUAGGACAAACAUAAACCUUUUGUAAUUGCAAUCAGCGUCAGUAACAAAUUAAUAAUUACAACUUUCAACAACGGAUCUCUUGGUUCUGGCAUCGAUGAAGAACGCAGCGAAAUGCGAUAAGUAGUGUGAAUUGCAGAAUUCAGUGAAUCAUCGAAUCUUUGAACGCACAUUGCGCCCUUUGGUAUUCCAAAGGGCAUGCCUGUUCGAGCGUCAUUUGUACCCUCAAGCUUUGCUUGGUGUUGGGCGUCUUGUCUCUAGCUUUGCUGGAGACUCGCCUUAAAGUAAUUGGCAGCCGGCCUACUGGUUUCGGAGCGCAGCACAAGUCGCACUCUCUAUCAGCAAAGGUCUAGCAUCCAUUAAGCCUUUUUUUCAACUUUUGACCUCGGAUC